rnacentral:lncRNA from 1 species
UUUGCUCAGAACUAUUUCCCUUGAGUUUCAGCUCUAUGACUCUGCAUACUCUGCUCACAAGCUUUGUCAUGAGGUCUUUCUGAUGUUAUUGCUGAUGUUGUCACUUAUAGAUCACUAUCACGUCACAUUAAAUUCUAUAAACUGUUUCAAGAGAGUGGGGUCAAUGUCACCAUCAUUAGGGAGGGGAGGAAAGAAGACCUGCUAAAUAAAAUGAUUAGCGUUUCUGGAGAAUUUCUUUCUCUUUAUUAAAGAUAUGUAGAUCAAAACAAGAAUGAGGAGCUGGGGUUUUGGCUUAGCGUUACAGCGCUCGUCUAGCACGUGCGAGGCUCUGGGUUUGAUCCUCAGCACCACAUAAAAAUAAAUGAAUAAAUAAAAUGAAGGCAUUGUGUCCAACUACAACUAAAAAAAAUAUUAAAAAAAAAAAGAAUGACAGUGAUGAAGACCUUGAGGGAAAAAGGAAAGUCUUGUGGUCUUUCAAGGAUUCAGAUGAUGUUGCAGUGUGAAUAAACAAGUUUGGGGACUGAAAAAUUAUAGAGAAAUCUAUGUGUAUUAAAACACAGUAGAGAAAAGGAAAUCUGUGAGACAUUUGGGGAUUCUCAAAAAUAGAUACCCAAAGCCUCAGGUCCCAUUCAUACACAAGGAAGGAAUGAUUAAAUCAAAAAACUGGAGAAUGUUUCCUUGGUUUGUUUAAUCCUUCACAGACGCCUUGGAGAGAGGAGAGGAAUGUUUUAUUUGCUCAUUUCCUGCACAACAUCUCUCACACUAUCCUCUCCAUGACUCUGGAUUCCCCAGACUUCUCUGGGUUUCCAGGAGGGCAGAGAUGUCUAAAUAACUGCUUUGUACCCCUUACCUUGCUUAGUGGAUUAAACAUUUGGAAACAUUUCC